GGCUGGGAAGGGGCAGUCCGUGUGAGGGCAGCCUUGGCCUACGGGGUGCGUCGGCUGGACCCAGGCGGACAGGACCUUGGGAGGGAGGGGAGGAGCCCUGUAGGUUCCGCGGAGAGCUACGAGUUUGCUUAGCUCGCAGGACGUCAGAGCUGGUGACGUCCGAUGCAAGGUUCCCCUCUUCCAGGAUGAGUGCCAGGUGACGUGUAUCAGAUGCCCGUUGGUGAGAUUUGAGGCGGACCCCAGACCUUAACACCCCUCUGGCUGAGUCCCCUCACAUGGUAGCAGGGCCUACGCCACAACCACAGCAAUGCGGGAUCCGAGUCAUGUCUGCGACCUACACCACAGCUCACAGCAAGGCCAGAUCCUUAACCCACUGAGCGAGGACAGGGAUCAAACCCUCAACCUCAUGGUUCCUAGUCGGAUUCGUUAACCACUGAACCACGACGGGAACUCCGGGCCUACACCACAGCAACACCAGAUCAGAGCCACGUCUGUGACCAACACCACAGCUCAGGGCAACACCAGAUCCUUAACCCACUGAACAAAGGCCAGGGAUUGAACCCGCAACCUCAUGGUUCCUAGUUGGAUUCGUUAACCACUGAGCCACGACGGGAACGCCUCUUUUUAAAUUAUAGUUUUGUCCAGAUAUAUGGAUUGCUGGAUCAUAUGGUAGUUUUAUAUUGCCUUUUCUGAGGAACCCCCAUACUGUUUUCCAUAGUGGUUGUACCAGUUUACAUUCCUCCAGCCGUGCAGGAGGGUUCCACACCCUCUGCAGCAUUUGUUAUUUGUAGGCUUAUGAAUGAUGGCCACUCUGACCAGUAAGAGGUGGUAUCUCACUGUAGUUUUGAUUUGCAUUUCUCUAAUAAUUAGUGAUGUUGAACAUCUUUUAUGUGCCUACUGGCCAGCUGUAUGUCUUCCUUGGAGAAAUGACUAUUUAGGUCUUCUGCACAUUUUUCGAUUAGGUUGUUCGUUCUUUUGUCGUUGAGUUGUAUGAGUUUUGUUUUGUUUUUUUAUAUUUUGGAGGUGAAGCCCUUAUUGGUUGCAUCAUUUGCAACUAUUUUCUUCCAUUCCGUAGGUUGUCUUUUCAUUUUGUUUAUGGUUUCCUUUGAUGUGAAAAAGCUUGUAAGUUUGAUUAGUUUCCAUUUGUUUAUUUUUUUCUAUUGCCUUGGGAGACUGACCUAAUAAGACAUUUGUAUGGUUUGUCUUCUCUGCCCCGUUUUUACAUGAGUGAUAGCAUAUCCCAUACAUUCUUCUGCUCCUCACUUUUUUUCACUUAAUGUACAUCUUGGAAAUAACAACAGUAAUGUAAUAACAGUAAUAUAACAUGAGGGAAACCCACAUGUCUCAUAAUGAGCCUCCACUACAUGUCAGGUGCUGUUCUAAGCACUUCAGAUGUUAUAAUUCACACCGUGCUGGUCAGAAUCCUGUGUGGUAGGUACUUGGUAUGAAUCCCCAUUGUUAAGAGGUUAAGUAAUUUUCCGAGAUUUCACAGCUGAUACUUGGCAGAGGCAAGAUUCAAUCCCGGGCCAUCUGACUUUAGAUUAGUUGUCCUUUGUCCCUGCCCCAUUGCUGCUCACGCUUGUGUCAUGUCACUGUGGACGCUUGCUCUUCCCGAGGGCCAAGGUGGGAGAGAUACUGGUUAUUGAACUCUUGCCAUGGCCAGGCUCAGGCUGGGAUGCAGCAAAGAAUAAGAAAGACUAGGUCUCUGCUCUCUUAGAACUGGCAUCCCAGGGCCUACAAGUGUCUGUCAGCCAAAGCAGGAGGAGGGAAACCCACGUGUCGCCUACACUCACACGCCCGUGUCCAGUGUGCUGCUCACACGCACCCUGUUCCUUUUAUCCACUGGUCCUUUACUCACUCAGCCUCUGAGCUGGAAGGCCUUGGGGCCCAGUGCUCAAGGUAGGAACGUGGAGGUCUAGACGGAGGAGACACUUGUGAGGGAUCACAGCGUGGCCCUCGUGAACCUCAUCCCCUGCCCCCCCGGGAUCCAUUUCAGCAGGGCUGGUGGAGGCGUCUCUAAUCCAGGGCCCAACCAUUGUUUGAAGUUGGGAACAAUUGAAGGGCAAGGGAGCUAUAGAUAGAUCCACAGCUGCUAUCACCUGUUCCAGCCUGGGCACUGGCCCAAGCAUUGUCUGCAUGGGGGUACUCUACCAAGGCCCACUGCGGGUGGGAGGCUGGUUCAGCCUCGCCCAGCUCUAGAGAGACUGAAUCAGAGGCCCAGACAGAGAAAUACAGAAUCUCAGAGGGUGGAAACCGACAGGGUAACUCAGAAAGACCCAGACCCUUGAGAGAUACUAGAGGCUCCCACCAAAUGCCAGGAACACUGAGGCUGGGUGGGGCUGGGAGAGCUGCACUUGUAUAUUUCUCUCUGGGGCAACCACUUCCCGGACUCUUCCUGAGGCAGUCAGAGGUACUUUGGGGAGUGCUCUUGGAGACCCCUGGGGGCUUUGAAAUGGAGAGGUUGUGGAGUUCCUGUUGUGGCUCAGUGAUAAUGAACCCAACUAGUAUCCAUGAGGACACAGGUUUGAUCCCUUGCCCGGGUCAGUGGGUUGAGGAUCCAGCAUUGCCAUGAGCUGUGGUGUAGGUUGCAGAUGCGGCUUAGAUCCCACAUUGCUGUGAUAUAGGCUGGCAGCUGCAGCUCCGAUUAGACCCCUAGCCCGGGAACUUCCAUAUGCUGCAAGUGGGCCCUAAAAAGACCAAAAAAAAAAAAAAAAAAAAAAAAAAAAAAAAGAAAGAAAGAGAGAGAGAGGUCAUGCUGCUGGAUCUAGUCAUUGCUUUAAUUAUUGUGUGACCUUGGGCAGGGACCUGCUUCUUCCUCUGUGCCUCGGUUUCCCCAGCUGCUCAAUGAGAGAUGGUUUGCAUGACCACUAAAAGGCCUUUUCGUCCUCUGAUGCCUGUCAGGACAUUUUCCUCGUGUUUCUAACCUCUCUCCCUCUUGCUGCCGGCCAAGGCCACAGUCCCCUCCUCUGUUUGUCCUUUGUGAGGAUGGGGGACAGCUGGUCCCCCGUCCCCUCCCCCCCCAGUAACCUUUUAGCCAUAAAUCCAUGCUGAGGCGUUUCUCCACCGGAUAAACAGCCCUGAUACCUUUUGGCUGCCCUCGUCCUAUUUUCUGCUUGAAGUAUCAGAGCCGGGGCCCACUCGGGCCCUCUGCAGCUGCCCAGGGCCCCAGGAGGGGAACAAGCCUUGGACCAGCAGGGCCCCCACCACCCCCAGGGUGCCAGGGUGGAGGGCCCCUCCUUGGGCCUCACCACCUCACAUUUGGACCCUUAUGGCAGCCGCCUCCCAAGUAAGUCUUCCUGCCACCGGUCUCGCCCCUGCAGUCCAUCCUCCACACCAGCUGCCACGGGGAUCUGGUGAACACAUAAAUCUGACCACACUGUCAAAUGCCCUUGCUCAGAGCUCUUUGAUGAAAACAAUAAAAUAAAAAAUGCCUUUGAUGGCUCCCCAACUCCUGCAGGCUAAAGCCCCGAACCCUAAUCUGGCCUUUGAAGCCCUUCGCAGUCCAGUCCGCACUGCUCCGUCCAGCCUUACCUCAGCCUGUGUGGCUGCUCUGGACCGGGAGUUUGGGUUCUUGCUCUCGUCACCUCUUCUCUCUCUUUGGUGCCUCUCCUCACCCAGGCCCCUCCUCUCUCCCUGGCUGGCCACAGCCUCUUCACUGGUCUCCCUGUGGCAUCUCUUGCCCCUUCUAGUCCAUUCUCAAUAUGGCAGCCAAAGUGAUCUUUUUUCUUUUUUGUUUUUAGGGCCUGUGGCAUAUGGGGGUUCCCAGGCUAGGGGUCAGCUCAGAGCUACAGCUGCAGGCCUACACUACAGCCAUGCAGGAUCCAAGCUUUGUCUGCAACCUACACCACAGCUCAUGGUAACACUGGAUCUUUAACCCACUGAGCGAGGCCAAGGAUCGAACCCACAUCCUCAUGGAUACCAGUUGGAUUUGUUACCGCUGAGCCACAAUGGGAACUCCCAGAGUGAUCACUAUAAACUCCAGACCAUCCUCCUGCCCUGACAGCUUCCCAUGGCACGUGCAGUGAAGUCCUGCAAGACUCCCAGUGAUCCACCCCAGCCUCCCCACCUAACCUCGCCUUGUAAAACUCUCCCACCCUAGUGGCAUGAGCAUUGUGACAGGGCCUCAGACACACCAAGCUGUGUUCUGCCUCAUGGCUUUUGUAUCUACUCUUCUUCCUGACAGGAAUAUUCUUCCCCUGGCUCUUUGCGGGACUGGCUCCCUCUUAGCCUUCAGGUCUUGCCUUAAAUGUCACCUCCUCAGAGAGGCCCUUCCUGACCAACCUCCCCAGCAUUACUCUGUGUGGCGCCUUCAUAGCAGGUGCCACAAUCUUUUGUCCUUCAAACCCCUCCAUUCUGACUCCUUCCUUGAGCAUCAUUCCUUUCCUGGACACGGAAUAGAAGCUGUCAGAUGCCUAUUGAGUUGAAUUCAUGUGUUCCUUCUUGCUGUGGUAGUGUUUUAGCAGAGUCCUGCAAUGUCUUUAUCCAAAGAAGGACUUUGAGGCACAAGGAUGCUUUGGUGGCAGGUAUAUUUGGGGCUGAGGCUGUUCCCCACAUUGCACCCUCUCCGCCUUCUUGCCUGUCCUUGUCUUCUCCAGCACUCAGCUCUCCCACUGGCAUUUUGGGCCAGAAGAGGAGAGACCAGAGGUACUAUGCCCCUUUCAGGCUUUGCCCCAUCAACUCAUUACUCAUGGACAUCUCCCCCCAAAUAGCCCCAGCUCAGCAGCUGCCUCCAGGCCUGGCUGCUACUAAUCUGUGGGUUCUAGGACUCUUGGAAGCAAGUGCUGAUCUGAGGCCUUUGGUGCACCUAAGACUCCCUGCUGCCCAUCUUGGGCACCCGCUACAUCCUAAGACUUUCAGUCUCUAUCUUUGGCCACUUUCCUCUCUUCUUGCUUCUCCCCUCGAACCCUGUUCCCAGCCAGGCCCAAGUUUCCCUGGCUCUUCUUUCUCUCAGGCGUGUUAGUGGGGAUGGGCAGACAGCGUAUCAGUUUUUGAGGGCAGUGAUAGGCCUGACCAGAGCCACCUGGGUCUGGGGGCCUGGGGACACUGAAACUAGAAAGCCUGAGGCCUCCCUGACAACCCUUCCCAGUGCUGUCAGUACCUUAAGUCUCUUAAAGAUUGUGGUUCUUUGAGUGAUUUCCAGAGAGAGUCCCUGCCACCCAGAAGGGUGGACACACUGCAGGCCAUCUGCCCUCGUGCUACUCCUGCCCCAAGUUGCUGUCUUUUUUUCUGGUUUUCUUGGGGUGGAGAGCUCACCCUGGGAAUGGGAUCCUAGAGUCUCGGCCUGGGCCUUCCUUGAGCCCCAUCAGGGUCUUGGUGUCCUCAUCUAAGCUGAGGGCCUGGACAAGAUGAUUUAACUUCCAGCCCUAAUGUUCCUGAGUCCUAAUACCCUAGCAGUCUUUAAUGCCUAAAAAAGAAAAAAAAAAAAGAGGGAGAAAUGUAAAAGAUAUGGGAAAGUACGGAGAAUAACUAACAAGCCGUUGUGCACAUUUUGUCAUAUUCAAGUCUUUGGCCUUAGGAUUCUAGCACUUCAGGGUUCUAAUGACCCCAGGAGUCUAAACUGAGGCGCAUAUAUGUCUUAUUUCUAUACUUAUAACCUUGGGAAGAGAAAGCAGAAGAAAGACUUUGGGCUGUCUAUACUGCUACUCACUGAGUGGGUUAGUUGGGAUGAGAGGGUGAUUGUUAAGAAAGAAAGUUUCCAAAGAAUCUAAAACCCUGGGAUCCUAGAGUCCUAGAGUUGGAGCUGAUUCUCAGAGGUCAUCCAGUUCAAAGCCUCCAGCCCCGUGCAACCUCUCCUUGAUUCUUCCUUGCUUUUGGCAGGCUUGCUUUCUUCCAAGACAGACUCUUCUGUUGCUGAUUGGCUGCAAGUAUGAAAAAGCCCUUUUGUGUGUGUGUCUCCAAACUCUGCUUCCUUGUAAGUCCACCACUAUUCUGCUUUGGGGGCCACGCAAGUCACACGGGCUCCCUCUGCUCCAGGGCAGCUCUUCACGUGUUUAAAGUUAAGUCCUUAAGUCCUUGCAGAUUGUAGCAUUUGUUGCAGCUCUCAAGUGCAUGUUGGGUCUCCUCAUUGCUUUGUCAUGUUUGUCUGUGAGCUCAUCUUAGCAGGAAGCUGUGUCCUGUGUAGUAGAAGCCAACAUACAGGGGCAGUUCUAGACCCAUUUCUUUGGGUUGGUUUUUCAGCCCCAGGUUUCUAUACUGAGCAGGUAAUUCUAGAAUUCAGAUCCACAUUAUAUUUGGUAUAAGCCAAGCUUGAUAGAUUGAGGUUCUGACUUUCCGUAUUAAUUCUAUUGCUUGGGCCUUAGGCAUAAAGCCUGCUUUCUGAGCAUCUUUGAACAGGAGCAGUCUUCCUCACCCUUUGGGCUUUCUAUAAAUUGUUCAAGCCCAGCUCCUUAGCCUUUGAUCCUGUACAGAGGUUAAAACUCUGUGGCUCCGCAGGUUAAGAACCUGACUGGCGUCCAUGAGUUUGCGGGUUCAAUCCCUGGCCUCGCUCAGUGGGUUAGGAUCCAGCAUUGCUGCAAGACAUUGGUGGCAUUGGUUGGCAGAUGUGGCUCAGAUCCGGCGUUGCCUUGAUUGUGGCAUAGGCCUGCAGCUGCAGCUCCAGUUCAACCCCUAGCCUGCGGUUGUAGCCCUAAAAAGGAAAAAAAAAAAAAAAAAAAAAAA
rnacentral:lncRNA from 1 species